rnacentral:rRNA from 1 species
GACACUGACACUGAGGUGCGAAAGCGUGGGUAGCAAACAGGAUUAGAUACCCUGGUAGUCCACGCCGUAAACGAUGUCGACCAGCCGUUGGGUGCCUAGCGCACUUUGUGGCGAAGUUAACGCGAUAAGUCGACCGCCUGGGGAGUACGGCCGCAAGGUUAAAACUCAAAUGAAUUGACGGGGGCCCGCACAAGCGGUGGAGCAUGUGGUUUAAUUCGAUGCAACGCGAAGAACCUUACCUACUCUUGACAUCCUGCGAACUUGUGAGAGAUCACUUGGUGCCUUCGGGAGCGCAGAGACAGGUGCUGCAUGGCUGUCGUCAGCUCGUGUUGUGAAAUGUUGGGUUAAGUCCCGUAACGAGCGCAACCCUUGUCCUUAUUUGCCAGCGGGUAAUGCCGGGAACUCUAAGGAGACUGCCGGUGACAAACCGGAGGAAGGUGGGGACGACGUCAAGUCAUCAUGGCCCUUACGAGUAGGGCUACACACGUGCUACAAUGGCCGGUACAAAGGGUUGCGAGCUCGCGAGAGUCAGCUAAUCCCGAAAAGCCGGUCUCAGUCCGGAUCGGAGUCUGCAACUCGACUCCGUGAAGUCGGAAUCGCUAGUAAUCGUGAAUCAGAAUGUCACGGUGAAUACGUUCCCGGGCCUUGUACACACCGCCCGU